UGUACCUUCUCCAAUUAAGAGAACUAGGAGUUCCAAUUUACUGAGCUUUAAUAAUGGAUAAAAUGAAACCUCAACUGUAUAAUUCAGGCUUUCAGAUAAGACUCAGCCUCUCAGAAACUUCUGUAGAGAAGGGUAAAAAUCUACUGGUUGUGUUAAUAAUUUGCUAAAGUACAAACAGAUAUUAGAUAUCAUACAUUUACUACGUGCACGACUAAAGAAGGUCUUCCCAGCAGGCAGUGUGUGCUUGGUAGAGCUUCAGAGAAGGAAGCUACAUACAGCUUCAGGGCCUGGCAACAAUGUCAGCUGCAAUGCAAACAGUUUCUCAAAUGUUGGAAGAUCUGAAAACUCGGAUUAUGACAGAUAAUUGGGCUUUUGGUGGACUGGUAGUGAUUGCUUCAUUCUUAGCUGUCAUCAUUGCCCUCCUCUUGUUUGCUGCCAUCUUUGGCUGCUUCUCAACUCCAAAAAAAUAAACCAGGUUCCAUAUAAUUAGCAAGAGUGGUCUGGUCUGUGGAAUUUCAAGAAUGCUACGGCAUGACCAAGAAGUCAGGAGUAUUGUUUCUUCUUGUCAUCCCUAUUUCACAUGUACAAGUGAAUAUAUUAUGGAGGAAAUUGGUGCUGCAAAGGAGAUUUCCAAAGACAUGUAACCAGAUCUGACACCAAAUGAAAUCUGCACUAAAGAACUACGUGCCUGCCACAUCUUUGGUUCAAGUUUAAGUUCUAUUAGCAAUGGAAACAUGAUCAAUAAAUGGUUGCCUUUUAA